GGUCCGCUGGCGUAAUGGCAGCGCGUCUGACUACGAUUUGGAUCCAAAUCCAAUCAAGUAAAUCAGGAGGUUCCAGGUUCGACCCCUGGGCGGAUCG